rnacentral:rRNA from 1 species
GAUCAACGCUGGCGGCGUGCCUAAUACAUGCAAGUCGAGCGAAGCGUGGGCGGGUGUGUAACACGUGGAUAAACUCCUAUAAGACUGGGAUAACUUCGGGAAACCGGAGCUUAACCGGCUUCUUAUACAAGGAGCUGGGCUGCAUUAGCUCGUUGGUAAGGUAACGGCUUACAAAGGCUACGUUGCAUAUCCGAGCUGAAAGGGGAAUCGGUCACACUGGUAGUGAGACAGGGUACAGAGUCCAACGGGAGGUAGCAGUAGGGAAUCUUCCGCGAUGGGCUACAGCCUGACGGAGCUACGCCGCGUGAGUGAUGAAGGUCUUCGAAUCGUAAAACUCUGUGAGUAGGGAAGCGGUAUCUAAGCAGAAGGCCACGGCUAACUGCGUGCUAGCAGCCGCGGUAAUAC